rnacentral:lncRNA from 1 species
GGGUAAGAUGCAGAUCUUCUCAGGUUUUUUGAACUUACAAAUAUGUUCAUGGUAGAAAUAUUAGAAGCAUAGCCAAUAACUUCUAGCUCCUGACAUAUUCUCUGCAGUGGAAAUUAAAAUAGAAUAAAUAUUCUUUUCACUAAGUAUUUUGAUGGACAAACUAGGCACUGAACCAUGAGACUUUGCUGAGGUUCCCAAAGAUCAGAUGUUUAAAACCAACAUCCUCUCCUCAGGGAACUUUCUCUAAGUGAUGACUCUUCCAGAGGUAGAAGGGGAAUUCUGACCAAAUCAAGAGAUACCAAAUAGUGAUUGAAAGUAAACAUGUGUUUCUAACUCAUUAGCUUUUAGGAACUCAGCAGGUCUUGCUGUAUUUAUCAUUAAUACUUUCUGUAAUAACCUGUAUGCAGUUGCUCUCUGAUUCAAAACAUGUCAUUUACUUAGAAUCCAAGGGCAACCAUUACAAAAAUCCCAGUCACUUUCAGAACCAGACAAAUUAUUUUACUCAAUGAAUCUCUGUAAUAAAGACAUAUUUAGAAGCAAAAAGAAAUCAAAUCUCUGUAUCACUGGGAUCUAUAUGGCUGGCCCCUGGUUGAGCUAAAAUGUAAGCACAUGUAUUAUAUUAAGAUUGUCAUAAUUUUUUUUUUCAUUUAAGAAGAACACUGUGAGAUUAGAACAGAGCUAUGUUCUCCUUUGUAUCCCAAGGCUCCAUGAGGGUGGGGUGACAUGGAUUAUGAAGCAACAAAUCAAAGACCUUGAUUUUCCUGAGAAAAUUCUGAAAUGCACAUAGUAAUAGAUUAUUUGUUCAGUGAGGAAAAAGAAACAGAAUUUCAAGCAAGCCUUUAGGACUCCAGAGAAAACUAGCCUUGUCCAAGCAGAGCAGAGAGGAAGCAGAUGACAUCAAUGGUUGCUAUUCAGGAAGCUUUAAUUCAACUGAGCAAAUAUUGAUGGAAAGUCAAGACCAGCAGAAUGGCCCUUCAAGGUUUCUUCUAAUUUCAGGAUUCCACAAAGCCUGUGGAAAUGCUACAUGUCAUGGAGGACGGAGGAAGGGAUGUGUGCAGUGGCGGCGGAGGGGAUGUAUAUUUUGUUUGUUUGCUGAAUUUUAAUAAGGCCAUCUUGGUUUCUGCAUGAAAAUGAAAUGUGAGUUCAAUUCACUGAUAUAUAUUCUCCAAUGAAAAUCCAGAGCCUGACCCAGAAUCACUGCUCUGGCUCCUUCAGAUUUGAGUCAUUA